GGGCGGGGCCACUGGUUGUGGUCACUCCAGGCAAACAGAAUGGCUGCUUGGUUUCAGUUUGGGGCCAGAGGAAGCUGAACUAUCACUACUAGCAGCCUGAGGGGGAGAGGAGACAAGCUGAUGUUUGUUCUUCAAGGGGAGACUGAGAGGCGGACCCUGGUCUGGGCAUAUCCUAGGCUGGUGGCAGAGCAGGGACCACACCUGGCCCCGAAUUCUAGACCAGUGGAAGAACCAACAACCCUCUAUCUUCUCAGCAAAGCUGACUGCAGUUCUCCCAGGGGGAAAAGAAGAUGUUGAAAUGGACUAAAGGACUUUCAGAUAUUUUUCAGGAAAAGACCGGAAGUGAACAGAAAAUCUGACCUACAAGAAUCAGGAGAAACAUCAGAGGGUAAACUAAUCCCAAGGGAUUGAAGAAGGUUACACUGUUCCCUUUGGGCAUCAGCCUGACUUUUUGCCCAGCGUAUGACAGUUCAGAUGAUGUUUUAUUGUUUAUUGGUGAACAUAUCUUCAUUAAGAGAUUUGGAAAGUUCAUCAAACUCAUUAAACCCUGAAAGGAGAUGGAGUCACUCAUGGGAGUCAACGCCCUCAUCCAUUGGUUUAUUGUGGAUUAAAAUCGUAAAUCCAUCGGUCUGUCUUUCCUGAGUGUGUAAAUAGCAGUUUAUCGAACAAAAGUCCGGACUAAUAACAGUCAAUAAUGAAUUAGUUUCUUCAUAACCUACUUGAAAUUAUUCCUAAGAAAAUGAUAAAAUAUAAGACGAUGAUGUUUGAAACACUCCAGACUGAGCUCAUGACCAGGGGAGCUCCAAGGUAUAAACAGAGAUAGAAGUUGAUUAUGAUGAGGUGAUCCAGAAAAAGAAAACUGACCAGGGAGAGGAGACACAUAUGACACAUACAAUAGAAAUCUCAAGAAGCAAGAAAAUAUAGUGGAAGAUGGCAUGCUUAGAUCUACUCUCAGAUUCCAACAGUUCCUUUUUUUGGUUGUGGAGAACAUUUUCAUCAUGAGUCCUUUGUGGUCAUCUUGGAGACUUGCUUUAUUGAUGAUACUUUAGGCCUUCACUGUUGAUCAUCGUACAAUAUUAUACAUUGUUCUCUUGAUUCUUCUCACUUUGCAUCAGUUCAUAUAAGUCUUUCCAGGUUUCUCACAUCCUGGCUCCUUAUGGCACACUAUUAUUCCAUUACAACCAUAUACCACGACUUAUUCAGCCAUUCCCCAAGUGAUAGACAACUCUUCAGUUUCUAAUUCUAUGCCACUACAGAAUGAGCUGCUCAGAUAUUUUGGUACAGGAGAUAUAACCUUCCAAUCCAUCCCCAUUUUGACCAUCGGUUUAUACUUUCUCUGUUGCCGAAGCUUGAAGAUCAGCAAAGACUUAAUCCUUGUGGCACAGAAUUUCAAUAUGGAGGCACUGUGCCCUGUACACCUGGUCUUGAGUUUCCUUUGGGCCCUGUUCAAUUGGAUCUGGAGUUCCUUCAGGAGGAUGCUGACAGUUCAGAGACCUGUGCCAGAUAGAAGCCUGAUCAAUCAAAUGGAGACUGCUCACUAUGGCCUUGUUGCCUUCUACUGCUACACGAUGCUCCUAAGGAUCAUUCUUUGGCUCAUUUUUCUCUUUAAGAACGAUCAACCAUCCAUGUAAUUAAAAGCCUGUCUGUCAUAAAGCA